UGUGUGUAACAUAUACAUUCUCAUUACUCUGUUAGUACGGCCUGUGUGGAACAUAUACAUUCUCAUUGCUCUGUUAGUACGGCCUGUGUGGAACAUAUACAUUCUCAUUACUCUGUUAGUACGGCCUGUGUGGAACAAAUACAUUCUCAUUGCUCUGUUAGUACAGCCUGUGUGGAACAUAUACAUUCUCAUUGCUCUGUUAGUACGGCCUGUGUGGAACAUAUACAUUCUCAUUACUCUGUUAGUACGGCUUGUGUGUAACAUAUACGUUCUCAUUGCUCUGUUAGUACGGCCUGUGUGUAACAUAUAUGUUCUCACUACUCUGUUAGUACUAUCUGUGUGGAACAUAUACAUUCUCAUUGCUCCGUUAGUACUAGGGAUCGACCGAUAUUGAUUUUUUUAGAGCCAAUACCGAUAAUCUGUGAACUUUCAGGCCCAUACCCGAUAACUUACCGAUAUUCUGUACAUUUACCAGUUUGAAAAAAUAAACAAUUUCUAAAGGUAAAUGCACAAGAUAUACAUGCCACAUGUAGUGGAUGCAGUGUGUUUAGACAGGGGCGCUGUGUGUGUAGAGGAUGCAGUGUGUAUUUGUGUAGUGUGUGUAUAUAAAUUAUGCAGAGUGUGUUUGUGUAGUGCGUGUAUAGUGAAUGCAGUGAGUGUUUGUGUAGUGUGUGUGUAUAGUGAAUGCAGUGAGUGUUUGUGUAGUGUGUGUGUAUAUAUAAUGCAUACAGUGAGUGUUUGUGUAGUGCGUAUAUAAUGAAUGCAGUAUGUUUGUGUAGUGCGUGUAUAAUGAAUGCAGUGAGUGUUUGUGUAGUGUGUGUGUAUAAUGAAUGCAGAGUGUGUGUUUGUGUAGUGUGUGUGUGUGUAUAAUGAAUGCAGUGUGUUUGUGUAGUGUGUGUGUGUGUGUGUGUAUAAUGAAUGCAGAGUGUGUGUGUUUGUGUAGUGUGUGUGUAUAAUGAAUGCAGAGUGUGUUUGUGUAGAGUGUUUCUGUAGGUAGGUAUGUAAUUUCAGGGGAGGGGGCAUUUUAAAAAAUUAAAAUAAACACCAACACAAAGACAAACAGUACAAUAAAAAGUGGAGUGCUUAAUAAAAAAUAGUAACAUAGGAAACACAUUCUAAUUGCUUGUUACACCAUUACAUAUGAAGUGAUGGACUUAUGAGCUAAAACACCAUGACAUAUGCAAAUAUGCAAAACAAAACAAAUGAUGAGGUAUGAACAUUUCUUGUCUCAUAUUUGCACUUUAAAUCUAAAUCCGCACUAGUGAAAUCUGUUAAUUUUUAUUAUUUUUUUGUUCCCCCUUGUUACUUGGCUUGUUACUCUAGUAUUCCCUGGUGGUCCAGUGGCAUGGACAGUGCAGAGGGGCCCCAGCAAGCGCUUACUUACCUUCCCAGCAGCUCCCCAGUCUAAAUCUCGCGAAUCGUUGCCAUGGUAACCCGUGGCAACGCUCUGAUAGCUGCAGGACUCUCGAGAUUUACACAGGGGAGCAGCUGGGAAGGUAAGUGUGUGCUACUGGCCCUCCAGGAGAGAGUAAGAGAGAGCUUGUGGUAUUCACAGGGCUUUUAACAGGUUAGCCCUUCCUUCUGCUGGACACACCUCCCUCAGUCAAUCCCUUAGGAUGUAACAGAACCAGAGUGCCUCCUGGGGGAAGGGUGAUUGCAUUGGAAGCGAAUUUAUCAACAACCCAACUGGUUUUGCCUGGUGAAAGGCCAUGUGCCCACAGAGGACUCCAUUAUUGCCUAAGGGUAGAAUGGGGCUUGAAUACCUGUAUACAAUAACACUUCAUUGGGAUACAGUUUGGCUGUUAAUCAGUCCCGCCAUUUAAGUGGAUGAGACACUUAUGCCCCGUUUCCACGGUCUGGUACGCUAUUUUGAGUUCUUCCAUUAUGAAAGUGGCCCAUACAACCAAACCAAACUGCGCCAUUCCUGGGCCCCCUUCAGAUGUAGGUCCAUAAGAAAUGGUACGCUUAGGGCAGAGCUACUGGCGUCACGUUAUACAAUCCAUUUAUUGGCGGACAGGAAAACGUCAAUGCUCACUACAAAUAGCACGCUUUGCAUUUGGUCUAAACCCUGCAUGCCCCCUGGCGGUCCGACUUGCAGUGGAAACGCUCACCUGAAUAUGCUGAACCGUACUGACCCGAACCAUACCGCUCAGUGGAAAUGUGGCAUAAGACUUGUUAAGACACCUCCAGUGUCUUUAGGCAAAACCGCCGUUUAGUAGACCUUCCCCGUCUGCAGUAACAGUAACUCCGUUCGCCUAACCUGUAGUACGCGAACCAAAUGCAGGGGAAGCGGCAAUCUCCCGACCGGGAUCCGUGAACGGCUCCAAACUCCCGAACGGCAAUACACGAACUGCUGCUAGCCGCCGAACAACAAUAUCCACCAAGCGGCUUUCGUUUCCAUCCAGCAGUCUCUAAACGUGAAGAAGAAAUCCUCCCAAUAACGAGACAGAAGCUCCACAUUGAGGGUCAAACAGGAUCUGGCUUUACUGUGGGCUACUUGCCUGUAUUUAUGCAGGUUUCCCACUUGGUGGACACUCCCCUAGGGGACCAAAUGGGAAAAUUAAAUGACAGACAGAUAUGGGGACAUUCCAGACACACAGUCACAGAUUUUACCCACAGUGCAUUAUGAUUCCCUCCCCUCUGCCCUGGAGAUAAUUACCAAGUAACUCAAUUAUCUCCAGGACAAAGCCAGUCGCCAUUUUAAAUAUAAAAUCAUAAAAGACAUAAAAAUGCAUAACUUUCAAAUAACCGAACAUUUCCCAUUCGUAUCACAUAUCCCCAGAUAGCCUGGAUCUGAGUGCAUAUUAUUAGCGAAUAGCGCUCAGAUCCCACACACAUAAUUCAAUCGCCA
rnacentral:lncRNA from 1 species